AUUGAACGCUGGCGGCAGGCCUAACACAUGCAAGUCGAGCGGAUGAAGGGAGCUUGCUCCUGGAUUCAGCGGCGGACGGGUGAGUAAUGCCUAGGAAUCUGCCUGGUAGUGGGGGAUAACGUCCGGAAACGGGCGCUAAUACCGCAUACGUCCUGAGGGAGAAAGUGGGGGAUCUUCGGACCUCACGCUAUUAGAUGAGCCUAGGUCGGAUUAGCUAGUUGGUGGGGUAAAGGCCUACCAAGGCGACGAUCCGUAACUGGUCUGAGAGGAUGAUCAGUCAAACUGGAACUGAGACACGGUCCAGACUCCUACGGGAGGCAGCAGUGGGGAAUAUUGGACAAUGGGCGAAAGCCUGAUCCAGCCAUGCCGCGUGUGUGAAGAAGGUCUUCGGAUUGUAAAGCACUUUAGGUUGGGAGGAAGGGCAGUAAGUUAAUACCUUGCUGUUUUGACGGUACCAACAGAAUAAGCACCGGCUAACUUCGUG
rnacentral:rRNA from 1 species